GACAUAGUGGCUGGGACCGGCGUCCGGCGUCCGGCGGGGAUGAGAGGCCCGCGGACUCGGGCUUGGGCCGCAUGGACACCCUGGUGCCGGCUCGGUGGCGACGGCGGAGGGCGGAGGAGCUUCAGGUUCCGGGGGACGCGCCCAGAUUGUGGGAAGUUGGCAGUAAACCAGUUUUAUACAUCGAGCUUGUGUUGACAGUGUAAAGAUUGAGUACAUCCUGAGUAACCGGAGAUCUAGGUCCUCGGUCUUCCUGGGUGUUUUCUCGGACUUGGGCAAAAGCACAGAGGCUGCAUUCUUUGCAAACGUCUUGAAGAUGAUUAGUAGGAUUACUGCAGUAUCCGGGAGAAGAAGGAUUGGAUGUACUCCGAUAGACCGGAAAACCACACAGGUGUCAAAUUAAGGUUAACGAGGGCGCCGAGGAGAGCCCUUCCAUGCAGAGAAGAACACUCAGAAAGCACCAGGGCUGGGGCAGGUGCUUCACACGGAGAAGACUCGGGGGCCGUGCGGGAUGCCCGCCUCUCUUGGACCUGCCACGCCAUGUGGCCACUGCGCCAGCCCACUAGGGUGGGUUUCUUCUGUGCAGACACACUGGCUGAGCCACGGAAGGCGGUCAUUCUUCUCUCCACGGUGGGGGCUGCUUGACUUUGCAGAAACGGGCAUGCAAGAGAGUAGAAGCGGCCGGGCCGGAAUGGGGCUGCGGCCCCGCGAAGCUCAGCGCCCUGGUGUCCUGGAGUGGCGGGGGGCUGCCACGUGUGGGGAUUCCUCAGAACGGUGGAAGGAGCUCAGC